GAUGAACGCUGGCGGCGUGCCUAAUACAUGCAAGUCGAGCGAACAGACGAGGAGCUUGCUCCUCUGACGUUAGCGGCGGACGGGUGAGUAACACGUGGAUAACCUACCUAUAAGACUGGGAUAACUUCGGGAAACCGGAGCUAAUACCGGAUAAUAUAUUGAACCGCAUGGUUCAAUAGUGAAAGACGGUUUUGCUGUCACUUAUAGAUGGAUCCGCGCCGCAUUAGCUAGUUGGUACGGUAACGGCUUACCAAGGCAACGAUGCGUAGCCGACCUGAGAGGGUGAUAGGCCACACUGGAACUGAGACACGGUCCAGACUCCUACGGGAGGCAGCAGUAGGGAAUCUUCCGCAAUGGGCGAAAGCCUGACGGAGCAACGCCGCGUGAGUGAUGAAGGUCUUCGGAUCGUAAAACUCUGUUAUUAGGGAAGAACAAAUGUGUAAGUAACUAUGCACGUCUUGACGGUACCUAAUCAGAAAGCCACGGCUAACUACGUG
rnacentral:rRNA from 1 species